rfam:Puccinia graminis f. sp. tritici CRL 75-36-700-3 supercont2.14 genomic scaffold, whole genome shotgun sequence.
GAUGGCUUAGUUCAGUGGUAGAGCAGGUCUGUACCAUGACUGUGACAUGGGUUUGACUCCCAUAGCUGUCA